UGGGGAAUUUUGGACAAUGGGCGAAAGCCUGAUCCAGCAAUGCCGCGUGUGUGAAGAAGGCCUUCGGGUUGUAAAGCACUUUUGUCCGGAAAGAAAUCCUUGGCUCUAAUACAGUCGGGGGAUGACGGUACCGGAAGAAUAAGCACCGGCUAACUACGUGCCAGCAGCCGCGGUAAUACGUAGGGUGCAAGCGUUAAUCGGAAUUACUGGGCGUAAAGCGUGCGCAGGCGGUUUGCUAAGACCGAUGUGAAAUCCCCGGGCUCAACCUGGGAACUGCAUUGGUGACUGGCAGGCUAGAGUAUGGCAGAGGGGGGUAGAAUUCCACGUGUAGCAGUGAAAUGCGUAGAGAUGUGGAGGAAUACCGAUGGCGAAGGCAGCCCCCUGGGCCAAAUACUGACGCUCAUGCACGAAAAGCGUGGGGGAGCAAAACAGGAUUAGAUACCCCUGGUAGUCCACGCCCUAAACGAUGUCAACUAGUUGUUGGGGAUUCAUUUCCUUAGUAACGUAGCUAACGCGUGAAGUUGACCGCCUGGGGAGUACGGUCGCAAGAUUAAAACUCAAAGGAAUUGACGGGGU
rnacentral:rRNA from 1 species